GGGGAACUUAAGGCCCCCAGGGUGGUGCUGCUUGAUGAGGCCCUCCAGCACCAUCAGACCUGCCUUAAAGAUGGCUUCUUUCUAGCGGCCUAAGCCAUCUGACGCUGGGGUGCUCUGAGAAAUGAUACUCUAGUUGUCUCCAGGAUUCACCAGAAUCAGAUAUUGAACGAGAAAAAGACAAAAAAGAGAGAGAGAAUGAGGACAGAGCUAGACAAAGAUCUGAAUCAAAACAUAAAUCUCCUACUAAAAAAAGACUGGGAAAAGAUUCUGGCAUCCUUACCCAUUUUCUCGCCUUCCUGGGGACUAUGCUGUGGGACUCAUGGCAGAUGUGUGUGGGCCAGCUGAAGGCCAGGGUGGCUGUCUGGCGACAUCCCAGAGGAAGGAGAGUGAAGGCCACACAUGUUU
rnacentral:lncRNA from 1 species